rnacentral:rRNA from 1 species
AUGAACGCUGGCGGCGUGCUUAAUACAUGCAAGUCGAACGAAGAGCCCUUAACCGAAGAUGAUGACGUGCUUGCACUGAAUCUGAUUCACCUUAGGGUUACUGAGUGGCGGACGGGUGAGUAACGCGUGGGUAACCUGCCUUAGACAGGGGGAUAACAUCAAGAAAUUGGUGCUAAUACCGCAUAUGCUCACAGUAUCGCAUGAUACAGUGAGGAAAACUCCGGUGGUCUAAGAUGGACCCGCGUCUGAUUAGCUAGUUGGAGGGGUAACGGCCCACCAAGGCAACGAUCAGUAGCCGACUUGAGAGAGUGAUCGGCCACAUUGGGACUGAGACACGGCCCAAACUCCUACGGGAGGCAGCAGUAGGGAAUAUUGCACAAUGGGGGAAACCCUGAUGCAGCGACGCCGCGUGAAGGAUGAAGUAUUUCGGUAUGUAAACUUCUAUCAGCAAGGAAGAAAAUGACGGUACUUGACUAAGAAGCCCCGGCUAAAUACGUGCCAGCCGCGGC